GUGCUUGCUUUGGCAGCACAUAUACUAAAAUUGGAACAAUACAGAAAAGAUUAGCAUGGCCCCUGUACAAAGAUGACAUGCAAAUUCAUGAAGCAUUCCGUAUUUUU
rnacentral:snRNA from 1 species